UACGUAGGUGGCAAGCGUUGUCCGGAAUUAUUGGGCGUAAAGCGCGCGCAGGCGGUCCUUUAAGUCUGAUGUGAAAGCCCACGGCUCAACCGUGGAGGGUCAUUGGAAACUGAGGGACUUGAGUACAGGAGAGAAAAGUGGAAUUCCACGUGUAGCGGUGAAAUGCGUAGAGAUGUGGAGGAACACCAGUGGCGAAGGCGACUUUUUGGCCUGUAACUGACGCUGAGGCGCGAAAGCGUGGGGAGCAAACAGG
rnacentral:rRNA from 1 species